rnacentral:rRNA from 1 species
UACGGGGGGAGCAAGCGUUGUUCGGAUUUACUGGGCGUAAAGGGCUCGUAGGUGGCCAACUAAGUCAGACGUGAAAUCCCUCGGCUUAACCGGGGAACUGCGUCUGAUACUGGAUGGCUUGAGUUCGGGAGAGGGAUGCGGAAUUCCAGGUGUAGCGGUGAAAUGCGUAGAUAUCUGGAGGAACACCGGUGGCGAAGGCGGCAUCCUGGACCGACAUUGACGCUGAGGAGCGAAAGCCAGGGGAGCAAACGGG